ACGCUCGACACCUACGUGAGGCAGCAGUGGGGAAUAUUGGGCAAUGGAGGAAACUCUGACCCAGCAACGCCGCGUGAAUGAUGAAGGUCUUUGGAUUGUAAAGUUCUUUUCUAAGGGACGAAGAAAGUGACGGUACCUUAGGAAUAAGCCUCGGCUAACUACGUGCCUGCAGCCGCGGUAAUCUGAGCGGGCUGGCAAGGC
rnacentral:rRNA from 1 species